GACAGAGGGUGCAAACGUUGUUCGGAAUUACUGGGCGUAAAGCGAGUGUAGGCGGUCUCAUAAGUCGGGUGUGAAAGCCCCGGGCUCAACCCGGGAAGUGCACUCGAAACUGCGAGGCUAGAGUAUCGGAGAGGUUGGUGGAAUUCCUGGUGUAGCGGUAAAAUGCGCAGAUAUCAGGAGGAACACCGAUUGCGAAGGCAGCUCGCUGGAACGUUACUGACGCUGAGACGCGAAAGCGUGGGGAGCAAACAGG
rnacentral:rRNA from 1 species